CUUUCUCUCUCGCACAGAUCUUGGACACACUUACGGUCUACGGUCUACAUGAAACCAUAGCAAUUCCUCCUCCAUGUAUAUAUACUCAAAGAAUAUUAUACAUCAAAGUGACAUCAAAGAAAAACAAAAUUAUUAAAAUAUAAAAUAAAUUUUCUCAAAAAUCCUACUAUUCACAAGUUAUGGUUGGAUAUUUUGGGACUAAAUUCAUCAUCUAUCCCAACUACAGCUCGUAUUUGUUCUAUUCAUUUUGAAAAAGAAUCUUUUAAUAGAACAUGUUUAAUAACUCUACUUAGGCCAAAUGCAUUGCCCAGUAGAACACUUACAAUGCAGAUCAUCUUCGGAAUCUACUGUUGAACAAUUUAUUAAUGAAAAUGUUGAAACGGUAUCACAAGAAAUAAAUUAUUCGCCAAUAGUUCCGACAAAAUCAACAGAUGUAAUCAAUGGAUCCUUAUCACCUAUAACAAAAUUUGUUUACCACAAUCGGUAUCUAAAGUGGAUAAAAUAACAAUGGUAUCAUCUACACGCAUCUAUAAUUCUCCAGAAAAAUCUAGAUUACGGAAAAGAAUUAAAUUCUUGGAAGUACAACAUACAAAAAAAAUGCUAUUUGCGCAACAAAAAAUACGACGGUAUAAGAAUCAAGUGAUCACACUCAAAGAAAUUUUAAACAAAUUAAAGAAUAAUAAUUAUUGAAUGAAACACAAGUUGACAUUAUACAUAUAUAUGUUAGGUAAACCAAUAAGUGAGAUUUUUAAGCAAUUAAUUAGGCGAAAGAAAAAUGCAUGCGUACCCAAACAAUAUCCGAAAAUAUGUUCAUUUGCACUAACGCUGUAUUAUUACUCUGCAUUUAUUGAAGAAGCAGUUAUAAUUUUCUUCUUGUGACACAUGCUUGAACAAUUAUAUUUAUUUUCAAUUUAUCUUAUGUAUAUUUAUGAUUAAAUGAAAUAGUACAGCGCAUAAAAUGCAAAGUGUUGUGUUGUGUAUAAUACUAAAGUUUAAUUAGACCUAAGUAAUUCGUCAUUUCAAUGUUACUGAUAUAGCUUGUUUAGAAUAUUGUAUUUUGCAAGGUGUAAAAUCAGCAAAAUGUAAAAUAAUAUCAGGAAAGUGAUGAAAGGAAUGCAGUUACAAAACAUGAAAUAUGUGUCACCAGGCAUAAACUGCUAUUGCUGAAUUUGAACUGUAUGACAGGUAACGUAAUUAAUUCUCUUUAAACUUUACUCACUUGUUCAGAUUUUACUUAGUGUUAAUAAACUUAAAUAAUUUGAGAAAUAAUACCUUCCUGCUUUAAUACAUUAUUACAAAAUUUAAUUGUAAUUACAUUUUCAGAACAUGGUGGUGUGUUAUCUACUGCACUAAGCGAAAAAGUACAUUAUUGUAUGUUCUACAUGUUCUUUCCAUGUUAUUAAAAGCUUCAUAUAUUUUAUAUAUUUUCAGUGUUACUAAGGGUGACAUGAUUUAUGGCUCUGUGUUAUUCAGAAGAGUAGUCAAAUGUCAUCAGGAAUCUUCUGACAAAUUCUGAUUCUUAAAGAGUUUAGUUAAGAAAUACAGAAUUUAUUUCAACAAGACUUCAAUCUUAUUGUAUUUAUAUGUGGAUUGUGUACAAUAUAAGAGAAUCGUGAACAAAUGAACAAUUGAAUGAUCAAUAAAAUAUCUAUUAUACUUGGCAGCAUGAUUUAAUUAAAUCUAAUUAAUUAAUCGAAUAUAUUAGGAUAAAUCAGAAAGGCAAAUGAGCCGCUACUAAAUGAUAUUGUAGAUAAUGUAUUAUCGUAAUAUUAUUUACAUAAAUAUAAACGUUUCAACUUGU